UACGGAGGGGACUAGCGUUGUUCGGAAUUACUGGGCGUAAAGCGCACGUAGGCGGAUUUGUAAGUCAGGGGUGAAAUCCCGGGGCUCAACCUCGGAACUGCCUUUGAUACUGCAAAUCUCGAGUCCGGAAGAGGUGAGUGGAAUUCCUAGUGUAGAGGUGAAAUUCGUAGAUAUUAGGAAGAACACCAGUGGCGAAGGCGGCUCACUGGUCCGGUACUGACACUGAGGAGCGAAAGCGUGGGGAGCGAUCCGG
rnacentral:rRNA from 1 species